rnacentral:lncRNA from 1 species
UUACACCAGCGGCUAGCACAUCAAACUUUUCAAGUUUUGUGCUUAGGUUUCAUUUUAACUUCACAAUGUCUCAAUUUUAUGGUAAGGUGCACAUCUGAAUGUUUUGAAGAAGGGAUUGCUGUCAUACCACAGGAGAAAACACUUAACUAAAGUACCACUGAGUGUUCCAUUGAUAUGUGGGAUGGGUUCAUUUUGGGACACCGAUUGCACAAAUAGCAUUAAUGUAUCCACCAUAGUUGAACUGGUUUAAAAAUUAAAAUUGUUUUACACAGUUUAUUGAAUAUUAUCUAGCCUUUUAUUGUGAAACCUUUAUUUCAACCAUACACAAGCUAAUACUUAUGAAGUCCCAAUUGACAAAUGAUUGCUUUGGUUUGAUUAACUAUUAUGGUCGGCCUUCCUUUAGUGGGAGAAGAAAACUGGUUGCAGUGCUUGUGUGUUCUUGCAUGGAAUGGUGGGUAAUUGCUAUACAUAAAUCUUCUAUAGAUAGUGAGAUACUGAGAUGGAAUAUAAUGCUAUAUUAUGCAACACCUAUCAGGGUAUGAUACUAUGACCAAAGCAUCAUGUUUUUAAAUAAGAUGAAUAAGCACCUUAGCUGCAACUUAGUAGAUUAUUCUGGUACACUCUCAACUACAACCAGAAAGGACAAUGAUAUGGCUGAUAGUGAAUUAGUGAUAGGACUUCAAAUGGAUGAGUUACAGAGAACACAGAUGUAUUAACUUUAUUUUUGUGCUUGUUUAGCAGACUACCAUACAGACUAAGUGACUAACCUUGCCAACAAAUCAUGGACCUGCUUAUUCCUAUCAAUUGGAUACUAUCAAAUAGUUUACAAUCUUCUUCAUUGUUGGGUAUUUUCUGUUCAUGAUGACAACAUUAAUUGAAUUAUAUCAUUUAGUAACAAAGUGAAAAAAAAAACUGUUUUUUAUUCCUAUCAAUAGGACACUAACAAGUAGUUUUAGCCUUCUUCAUUGUUGGGUGCUUCCUGUUCAUGCUGCCAGCAGUAAGUUGAAUUAUAUCAUUUAGGAACCAAAUGAAAAACUUUUGAGCCUUUGACAGUUCAGAAGCUGUCCUAGAGCAGAACCAACAUUCAUUUUAUAAUUAUGCUUUUGCUGCUACCACGUACAGAGCAGUCAUUGAAUUAUAUCAUCGAAGAACAAAGUGAAAAACUUUUGAGCCUUUGACAGUUCACAAGCUGGCCUAGAGAAGAAAACCAACAUUCCUUUUAUAACUAUGCUUGUUGCUGCUACCACGUGCAGAGCACUCAAGUAAGUUGUAGCAUGAUAUAUGAACUGAUCAUGAAUGAUGGUUUUCUCGUGCAGUUCCACUGUCCAUCUAUGCAUUCACCCUACCACUGCCGUAUAUUGGUGUGGCAUCAUCUCUGCCACCUGGCUUUGUUGCGGGUGCAGCUGUACUCACCGCCGGCUUACUACUAUACAGCCUACCACAGGCGCAACAUUAUGGAAAUUCUUUCCACAACAAAAAUGACUAGUUAGCAUUCAUUUCUUCAUUGGUUUAUCACCCUUCACUCCAAGAUGGUGCGUCAUCUGGGCUUGAAAGGUAGAACAGAAGUUCUCCUGAGGGCUACCUGACUGUUGUAUGUUGUAUAUGAUACAUAUCAUAUAUAUACUCCCACCUAUAAAGGCGAGGAAAUAGCAUAUGGAUAUAUUGGGAAUAAAGAUUGAGAAGAGGAAUAAGUACCUGGCAGUUACUGAGUGAAGGUUGGAGAAGAGCAUGCACAGUGGUGAGACGGGAAGAGAACCAGGGAGAAGAGCAGGAGCAUCAUCACCACAGGGACGAAGAGAAGGAACAGCGGUGGUGGCGGAAGUGGUGGCAGCACCAAUGGCAGGCACAGG